AUUAAAACAUUCUAUAUAUAUUUGGGUUCAGUGAAGAAGAACCUCUAGAGUUCUGAUCAACGGAAGGUUAAUGUUUAGAGGAUGUGAAUCAAGCAGCCUUCCAGUCAUCAGAUCACUUCUGGUGAAGGUUAAUGUUUAGAGGAUGUGAAUCAAGCAGCCUUCCAGUCAUCAGAUCACUUCUGGUGAAGGUUAAUGUUUAGAGGAUGUGAAUCAAGCAGCCUUCCAGUCAUCAGAUCACUUCUGGUGAAGGUUAAUGAUUAGAGGAUGUGAAUCAAGCAGCCUUCCAGUCAUCAGAUCACUUCUGGUGAAGGUUCAUGUUUAGAGGAUGUGAAUCAAGCAGCCUUCCAGUCAUUAGAUCACUUCUGGUGAAGGUUAAUGAUUAGAGGAUGUGAAUCAAGCAGCCUUCCAGUCAUCAGAUCACUUCUGGUGAAGGUUCAUGUUUAGAGGAUGUGAAUCACGCAGCCUUCCAGUCAUCAGAUCACUUCUGGUGAAGGUUCAUGUUUAGAGGAUGUGAAUCAAGCAGCCUUCCAGUCAUCAGAUCACUUCUGGUGAAGGUUAAUGUUUAGAGGAUGUGAAUCAAGCAGCCUUCCAGUCAUCAGAUCACUUCUGGUGAAGGUUAAUGUUUAGAGGAUGUGAAUCAAGCAGCCUUCCAGUCAUCAGAUCACUUCUGGUGAAGGUUAAUGUUUAGAGGAUGUGAAUCAAGCAGCCUUCCAGUCAUUAGAUCACUUCUGGUGAAGGUUAAUGUUUAGAGGAUGUGAAUCAAGCAGCCUUCCAGUCAUCAGAUCACUUCUGGUGAAGGUUAAUGUUUAGAGGAUGUGA